UGUAGGAAGGCAGAUUGGACCCUGGACCGUGUGAGGACCUGGAGAGAGGAGGAGAAGAGCAGGAGGAACAGAAGUGAAGACUGCAGGAAGAAGAUCAACCACUGGAUCAGGUUGAGCAGAGCCGCAUCCAGCUUGGAUCCAAUGCCCCCAGGACCUGACAGCCUGAGAAGUUCCUGCUCAGCUUUCCUGUAGCCCCCCUCAGAGACUGGAGUCACCACAGGAGGUGGUCAGAUAGAUGUGAGACACAGGAAGAUCCCAAUGGGCUCAAGCUGUCUUCAUUUCUAAAUUAAAGGCUUUUCCCUUAAAACCAGAUGACAACAGCCACAUUAGGGGGGCCUCAUUGCUGCCUACAACUAGCUGAAGGGAGGCUGUAGCCAGGCAUCUCCCAGGAGCUUCGCCAUGAGGUGCUCCCAGAAGCAGCACUUGGAAACACAGGACACAUCCCAUGCACAUCAGCUUGGAGGAUGAGUUAGGUCCCCAGCAUCUGGGCCAGCAGCGGUGUGGGCAGCAGGAGCAGGGACAAGACUGCCAUGUGCUUAGCAUUGGCUGAGUACAGGACCUGCCUGGCAAACACUCAAGAGUCCUCCCAUUCCCAGUGGGAGACUGCUCUGAGGAGGCAGAUCAUGGGCACCACACGCUGGGAGAAGCUGCUGGAGGCAAACGUCGGCAGUGUUCUACUCUGAGUGAAUCACUUCAAGACAUUAAAGAGAGUCCAGGCUGGGGAUUACCUUUGGCUUCUGGUGCUUAUCUACGAUGAAAUAAAGGCCAAUUUGACAAUGAAA